rnacentral:piRNA from 1 species
UAGGUCCUCAUGAAGAAGUUGCUUUCGGG